rnacentral:lncRNA from 1 species
AGUGUUUAUCAUCUGAAGUGGAGUCUUUAGCUGUACCUACUCUUAAAUGGUUAGGACUUUUCCCAAGUGAUAUCAAAAGACUUGGAAUUCCAGAAAACCAGCUGAUUCCUGUUACUGAAGCUGACAUUGCUAAAGCAAAGUCCUUAAAAAAUAAAUCCUUUGUUAAAAGCAACAGACUUUGGCUUCAAGAGCUGGAAAUUCUCUUGGAGCAGAAACAAAAAGCAGAAUUACAAAGCUUAAAUGACUUCUCUUUUACAUUUCUACCAGAAGUAUACAUAUUACAGAAAAUAGCAAGUAAAGGUUGGUUAUAAAUAAUAGUAUGUGUUUCUUUCCCAUAGGAACUCCCAGCUAUUAAUUAUCAUACAAUGCCACUUUUGUUUAAAACAUACUGCUAAUAUACACUGAUUGAUAAAUAUUGGUUUCCAAGGUGGAGAGCUGGCAGAAUUGUUAGCAUGCCAGGCAAAAUGCUUUACAGCAUUUC